GGUCAAGUGACCAAGGGUUAAUGGUGGAUGACUAGGCACGAGAAGGCGAUGAAGGACGUGGCAAGCUGCGAUAAGCUCCGGGGAACCGCAAACAAGUUUCGAUCCGGAGAUUUCCGAAUGGGGCAACCCGCCGCUGUUCAUCCGGCGGCAUCCUGCCGCAAGGCAGGGAGCGAUACCCAGGGAACUGAAACAUCUCAGUACCUGGAGGAGAAGAAAACAAUCCGUGAUUCCCUCAGUAGCGGCGAGCGAACGGGGAAGAGCCUAAACACAGUUUGUGUCAAGCCCGAAUGCGUUGCAGACUGUGGGUUGUGGGGCUUUAGUGGAGGGAGGUUCGGAUCUCUCGCUGAGUGAAAACCGGAUGGCUAGUAGAAAGGUCUGGAACGGCCUACCAAAGAAGGUGACAAGUCCUGUAAACGAAAGCCAGCCGGCUCAGUUCUAAAGUACCCGAGUACCACGGGGCACGUGAAAUCCUGUGGGAAUCCAGCCCGACCGCGGGCUCAGGCUAAACACUCACUCGUGACCGAUAGUGCACAAGUACCGUGAGGGAAAGUUGAAAAGUACCCCGGUGAGGGGAGUGAAAUAGGACCUGAAACCGUUAACCUGCAAGCUGUAGGAGCGCUAUAGCGGGUUCGCAAGAACCCGCCAUGCGUGACUGCGUACCUUUUGCAUAAUGAACCAGGGAGUAACAUAGGCGCAGCGAGGUUAAUCCCUUCUGGGGAGAAGCCGGAGCGAAAGCGAGUCCUAACAGGGCGAUUCAGUUGCGUCUAGUUGACCCGAAGCUGGGUGAUCUACCCAUGGCCAGGCUGAAGCUCGGUUAACCCCGGGUGGAGGGCCGAACCCAUUGAGGUUGAAAACUCAAGGGAUGAGCUGUGGGUUGGAGUGAAAGGCUAAUCAAACCCAGAAAUAGCUGGUUCUCCCCGAAAUAGCUCUAGGGCUAGCCUUGGGAUUGCUGGGAUGCGGGGGUAGAGUGCUGAAUGGGCUAGGGGACCUACCAGUCUACCGAACCCAACCAAACUCCGAAUACCGCACACCUUGACCCCAGGAGUCAGCCUACGUGGGAUAAGCUGCGUGGACAAAAGGAGAACACUCCGGACCGCCGGCUAAGGUCCCGGAUACAGGUUAAGUGACAAAGGAUGUGCGAUGGCUUAGACAACCGGGAUGUUGGCUCAGAGGCAGCCAUCAUUUAAAGAGUGCGUAACAGCUCACCGGUCGAUGUCGUUGCGCGCCUACAAUGAUCGGGACUAAACCUGUGACCGACGCCGCGGAUUUUGCGCCUUUGGCGCAGAGUGGUAGGGGAGCGUACUGCAGUAGAGUGAAGGUGGACCGUAAGGACCACUGGACGAAGCAGUAGUGAGAAUCCUGGUAUGAGUAGCGAAAAUGCUGGUGAAAAACCAGCACGCCGAAAACCUAAGGGUUCCUGGGGAAGGUUCGUCCGCCCAGGGUUAGGCGGUCCUAAGUUGAGGCCGAAAGGCGUAGGCGAUGGACAGCCGGUUAAUAUUCCGGCCCCUCCUGGUAAUGCGCUUGAGCCGUAUCGGUGACGCAGGGGGUUAGAUCAUCCCGGGUGCUGGUUGUCUCGGGUCAAGCCGGUAGCUCCGCCGCAAGGCGGAGUGAGAGGCGAUGGGGAGUCGCGGGGAAACCCAAGGCGAAGUGGUUGAUACCGUACUGCCAAGAAAACCCGAUGCGGUGAGGUGUUACCGGGAGUCCGUACCGCAAUCCGACACAGGUAGGUGUGCUGAAUAUGCUCAGGCGAGCGAGAUAACCCUCGUUAAGGAACUCGGCAAAAUGACCCCGUAACUUCGGGAGAAGGGGCGGUUUUGCGUGUGAAGUGGUUUACCCAUGGAGCAUGCUGGACCCCCAGUAAAGAGAGCUAAGUGACUGUUUAGUAAAAACCCAUCUCUCUGCUAAGUCGUCAAGACGACGUAUAGGGAGUGACACCUGCCCGGUGCUGGAAGGUUAAGGGGAGAUGUCAUCCUGCCGCAAGGCAGGGGAAGCGUUGAACUGAAGCCCCAGUAAACGGCGGCCGUAACUAUAACGGUCCUAAGGUAGCGAAAUUCCUUGUCGGGUAAGUUCCGACCCGCACGAAUGGUGUAACUACUUAGCUGCUGUCUCAACGAGGGACUCGGCGAAAAUGUAGUGGCGGUGAAGAUGCCGUCUACCCGCAUGUAGACGAAAAGACCCCAGAACCUUGACUGCAACUUGGUCUGGAAUAUUCGUACUGUCUGCGUAGGAUAGGUGGGAGGCUUUGAAGUUCCGCUUUCGGGCGGGAUGGAGCCAACGGUGCAAUACCACCCUGAUUGUAUAAAUGUUCUAACCCCUUCCGUGGAGGGAGGGGGACAGGGCCAGGCGGGCAGUUUGACUGGGGCGGUUUCCUCCUAAAGGAUAACGGAGGAGCGCCAAGGUUCCCUCAGCGCGGUUGGCAAUCGCGUGUCGAGUGUAAGGAUAUAAGGGAGCUUGACUGCGAGUCUGACAGGACGAGCAGGUACGAAAGUAGGUCCUAGUGAUCCGGCGGUGGUUUGUGGUAACGCCGUCGCUCAUCGAACAAUAGGUACUCUGGGGAUAACAGGCUUAUCGGGCCCGAGAGUUCACAUCGACGGCCCGGUUUGGCACCUCGAUGUCGGCUCAUCGCAUCCUGGGGGUGGAGAAGCUCCCAAGGGUCCGGCUGUUCGCCGGUUAAAGCGGUACGCGAGCUGGGUUUAGAACGUCGUGAGACAGUUCGGUCUCUAUCUCAUGCGGGCGUGAGGAAUCUUGACGGGGGUUGUCCGUAGUACGAGAGGACCCGGACAAGCGGACCUCUGGUGUCCCAGUUGUGCUGCCAAGCGCAAAGGCUGGGUAGUCAUGUCCGUUCGGGAUAAGCGCUGAACGCAUCUAAGUGCCAAGCCCACCCGAAGAUAAGGAUUCCCUGGAUCGCAAGAUCCCUAAAGGCCCCUGGAAGAUGACCAGGUUGAUAGGCUGGAGGUGGAAGAGGGGUGACCCUUGCAGCUGACCAGUACUAAUCGGCCGUGCGGCUUGACCAC
rnacentral:rRNA from 1 species